rnacentral:rRNA from 1 species
GGGAAUUUUGGACAAUGGGGGAAACCCUGAUCCAGCAAUGCCGCGUGUGUGAAGAAGGCCUUCGGGUUGUAAAGCACUUUUGUCCGGAAAGAAAACCUUUGAGUUAAUACCUUGGGGGGAUGACGGUACCGGAAGAAUAAGCACCGGCUAACUACGUGCCAGCAGCCGCGGUAAUACGUAGGGUGCGAGCGUUAAUCGGAAUUACUGGGCGUAAAGCGUGCGCAGGCGGUUCGUUAAGACAGAUGUGAAAUCCCCGGGCUUAACCUGGGAACUGCAUUUGUGACUGGCGAGCUAGAGUAUGGCAGAGGGGGGUAGAAUUCCACGUGUAGCAGUGAAAUGCGUAGAGAUGUGGAGGAAUACCGAUGGCGAAGGCAGCCCCCUGGGCCAAUACUGACGCUCAUGCACGAAAGCGUGGGGAGCAAA